rnacentral:tRNA from 2 species
GGGAGCAUAGCUCAGUCGGUAGAGCAACGCCCUUUUAAGGCGUCGGUCGUUGGUUCGAGCCCAACUGCUCUCA